UUAAAAUACUGGUUCCCAUACGAUCACCAAGGUUAAGCAAUGCAAUGCUUGUUCAAUACCUUGAUGGGUGACCGCUUGGGAAUACCAGGUGCUGUA